CCUACGGGGGGCUGCAGUAAGGAAUAUUGGUCAAUGGAGGAAACUCUGAACCAGCCGUCCCGCGUGAAGGAUGAAGGGGCUCUGCCUUGUAAACUUCUUUUGUCUGGGGCGAAAAAGCUCGAUUUAUCGAGAACUGACGGUACCAGAAGAAUAAGCACCGGCUAACUCCGUGCCAGCAGCCGCGGUAAUACGGAGGGUGCAGGAAUUACCCGGUAUCACUGGGUUGUAAGGGGCUUAGGGAGUCAGUGGAGAAAGGCUGUGGCUUAACCAUGGAAUUGCCAUUGAUACUGCAGAGCUUGAAUGAGGUUGAGGUUGGCGGAAUGUGACAUGUAGCGGUGAAAUGCUUAGAUAUGUCAUGGAACACCGAUUGCGAAGGCAGCUGACUGGACCUAUAUUGACGCUGAGGCACGAAAGCGUGGGGAGCGAACAGGAUUAGAUACCCCGGUAGUC
rnacentral:rRNA from 1 species